rnacentral:rRNA from 1 species
AGAGUUUGAUCCUGGCUCAGGAUGAACGCUAGCGAUAGGCUUAACACAUGCAAGUCGAGGGGUAACGUGUUGGAAGCUUGCUUCCGAUGACGACGACCGGCGGAUGGGUGCGUAACGCGUAUGCAACUUGCCUCACAGUGGAGAAUAACCCGGAGAAAUCCGGACUAAUGUUCCAUACACUCUUAAGUACGCCUGUACAUGAGAGGAAAGAUUUAUCGCUGUGAGAUAGGCAUGCGUCCUAUUAGGUAGUUGGUGAGGUAACGGCUCACCAAGCCGACGAUAGGUAGGGGUGCUGAGAGGCAGAUCCCCCACAUUGGGACUGAGACACGGCCCAAACUCCUACGGGAGGCAGCAGUGAGGAAUAUUGGUCAAUGGAGGAAACUCUGAACCAGCCAAGUCGCGUGAAGGAAGAAUGUCCUAAGGAUUGUAAACUUCUUUAGCGAGCGAGUAAGGACUUCCACGUGAUGGGAGUUUGAAAGUAGCUCGAGAAUAAGUAUCGGCUAACUCCGUGCCAGCAGCCGCGGUAAUACGGAGGAUACGAGCGUUAUCCGGAUUUAUUGGGUUUAAAGGGUGCGCAGGUGGUCUUGCAAGUCAGUGGUGAAAAGCUGAGGCUCAACCUCAGCCUUGCCGUUGAAACUGUAAGACUUGAGAGUACAUGAUGUGGGCGGAAUGCGUAGUGUAGCGGUGAAAUGCAUAGAUAUUACGCAGAACUCCGAUUGCGAAGGCAGCUCACAAAGGUAUAUCUGACACUGAGGCACGAAAGCGUGGGGAGCGAACAGGAUUAGAUACCCUGGUAGUCCACGCCGUAAACGUUGGGCACUAGGUGUGGGGGGCCUUUUCCGGGUCUUCCGCGCCGUAGCUAACGCAUUAAGUGCCCCGCCUGGGGAGUACGGCCGCAAGGCUAAAACUCAAAGGAAUUGACGGGGGC